rnacentral:rRNA from 1 species
AAGGGAUAAGCUAGUUAGUGGGAUAACGGCUCACUUAGGCGACGAUCCCUAGCUGGUCUGAGAGGAUGACCAGCCACAUGGGAACUGAGACACGGUCCAGACUCCUACGGGAGGCAGCAGUGGGGAAUAUUGCACAAUGGGCGCAAGCCUGAUGCAGCCAUGCCGCGUGUAUGAAGAAGGCCUUCGGGUUGUAAAGUACUUUCAGCGGGGAGGAAGGGAGUAAAGUUAAUGCCUUUGCUCAUUGACGUUACCCGCAGAAGAAGCACCGGCUAACUCCGUGCCAGCAGCCGCGGUAAUACGGAGGGUGCAAGCGUUAAUCGGAAUUACUGGGCGUAAAGCGCACGCAGGCGGUUUGUUAAGUCAGAUGUGAAAUCCCCGGGCUCAACCUGGGAACUGCAUCUGAUACUGGCAAGCUUGAGUCUCGUAGAGGGGGGUAGAAUUCCAGGUUUAGCGGUGAAAUGCGUAGAGAUCUGGAGGAAUACCGGUGGCGAAGGCGGCCCCCUGG